rnacentral:rRNA from 1 species
UUAAGCGACUAAGCGUACACGGUGGAUGCCCUGGCAGUCAGAGGCGAUGAAGGACGUGCUAAUCUGCGAAAAGCGCCGGCGAGGUGAUAUGAACCUUUGACCCGGCGAUGUCCGAAUGGGGAAACCCAGUGUGAUUCGUCACACUAUCGUUAACUGAAUACAUAGGUUAACGAGGCGAACCGGGGGAACUGAAACAUCUAAGUACCCCGAGGAAAAGAAAUCAACCGAGAUUCCCCCAGUAGCGGCGAGCGAACGGGGAGCAGCCCGGAGUCUGAAUCAGCUUGUGUGUUAGUGGAACGGUCUGGAAAGUCCGACGGUACAGGGUGAUAGUCCCGUACACGAAAAUGCACAGGUUGUGAACUCGAAGAGUAGGGCGGGACACGUGGUAUCCUGUCUGAAUAUGGGGGGACCAUCCUCCAAGGCUAAAUACUCCUGACUGACCGAUAGUGAACCAGUACCGUGAGGGAAAGGCGAAAAGAACCCCGGCGAGGGGAGUGAAAAAGAACCUGAAACCGUGUACGUACAAGCAGUGGGAGCCUACUUGUUAGGUGACUGCGUACCUUUUGUAUAAUGGGUCAGCGACUUAUAUUCUGUAGCAAGGUUAACCGUAUAGGGGAGCCGAAGGGAAACCGAGUCUUAACUGGGCGUUAAGUUGCAGGGUAUAGACCCGAAACCCGGUGAUCUAGCCAUGGGCAGGUUGAAGGUUGGGUAACACUAACUGGAGGACCGAACCGACUAAUGUUGAAAAAUUAGCGGAUGACCUGUGGCUGGGGGUGAAAGGCCAAUCAAACCGGGAGAUAGCUGGUUCUCCCCGAAAGCUAUUUAGGUAGCGCCUCGUGAACUCAUCUUCGGGGGUAGAGCACUGUUUCGGCUAGGGGGCCAUCCCGGCUUACCAACCCGAUGCAAACUACGAAUACCGAAGAAUGUUAUCACGGGAGACACACGGCGGGUGCUAACGUCCGUCGUGAAGAGGGAAACAACCCAGACCGCCAGCUAAGGUCCCAAAGUCAUGGUUAAGUGGGAAACGAUGUGGGAAGGCACAGACAGCCAGGAUGUUGGCUUAGAAGCAGCCAUCAUUUAAAGAAAGCGUAAUAGCUCACUGGUCGAGUCGGCCUGCGCGGAAGAUGUAACGGGGCUAAACCAUGCACCGAAGCUGCGGCAGCGACGCUUAUGCGUUGUUGGGUAGGGGAGCGUUCUGUAAGCCGUUGAAGGUGGCCUGUGAGGGUUGCUGGAGGUAUCAGAAGUGCGAAUGCUGACAUAAGUAACGAUAAAGCGGGUGAAAAGCCCGCUCGCCGGAAGACCAAGGGUUCCUGUCCAACGUUAAUCGGGGCAGGGUGAGUCGACCCCUAAGGCGAGGCCGAAAGGCGUAGUCGAUGGGAAACAGGUUAAUAUUCCUGUACUUGGUGUUACUGCGAAGGGGGGACGGAGAAGGCUAUGUUAGCCGGGCGACGGUUGUCCCGGUUUAAGCAUGUAGGCGGAGGUUCCAGGUAAAUCCGGUACCUUAUUAACGCUGAGGUGUGAUGACGAGGCACUACGGUGCUGAAGUAACAAAUGCCCUGCUUCCAGGAAAAGCCUCUAAGCAUCAGGUAACACGAAAUCGUACCCCAAACCGACACAGGUGGUCAGGUAGAGAAUACCAAGGCGCUUGAGAGAACUCGGGUGAAGGAACUAGGCAAAAUGGUGCCGUAACUUCGGGAGAAGGCACGCUGAUAUGUAGGUGAAGCCCCUGCGGGUGGAGCUGAAAUCAGUCGAAGAUACCAGCUGGCUGCAACUGUUUAUUAAAAACACAGCACUGUGCAAACACGAAAGUGGACGUAUACGGUGUGACGCCUGCCCGGUGCCGGAAGGUUAAUUGAUGGGGUUAGCGGUAACGCGAAGCUCUUGAUCGAAGCCCCGGUAAACGGCGGCCGUAACUAUAACGGUCCUAAGGUAGCGAAAUUCCUUGUCGGGUAAGUUCCGACCUGCACGAAUGGCGUAAUGAUGGCCAGGCUGUCUCCACCCGAGACUCAGUGAAAUUGAACUCGCUGUGAAGAUGCAGUGUACCCGCGGCAAGACGGAAAGACCCCGUGAACCUUUACUAUAGCUUGACACUGAACACUGGUCCUUGAUGUGUAGGAUAGGUGGGAGGCUUUGAAGCGUGGACGCCAGUCUGCGUGGAGCCGACCUUGAAAUACCACCCUUUAAUGGCUGGUGUUCUAACGUAGACCCGUAAUCCGGGUUGCGGACAGUGUCUGGUGGGUAGUUUGACUGGGGCGGUCUCCUCCCAAAGAGUAACGGAGGAGCACGAAGGUUAGCUAAUCCUGGUCGGACAUCAGGAGGUUAGUGCAAUGGCAUAAGCUAGCUUGACUGCGAGAGUGACGGCUCGAGCAGGUGCGAAAGCAGGUCAUAGUGAUCCGGUGGUUCUGAAUGGAAGGGCCAUCGCUCAACGGAUAAAAGGUACUCCGGGGAUAACAGGCUGAUACCGCCCAAGAGUUCAUAUCGACGGCGGUGUUUGGCACCUCGAUGUCGGCUCAUCACAUCCUGGGGCUGAAGUAGGUCCCAAGGGUAUGGCUGUUCGCCAUUUAAAGUGGUACGCGAGCUGGGUUUAGAACGUCGUGAGACAGUUCGGUCCCUAUCUGCCGUGGGCGCUGGAGAAUUGAGGGGGGCUGCUCCUAGUACGAGAGGACCGGAGUGGACGCAUCACUGGUGUUCGGGUUGUCAUGCCAAUGGCACUGCCCGGUAGCUAAAUGCGGAAGAGAUAAGUGCUGAAAGCAUCUAAGCACGAAACUUGCCCCGAGAUGAGUUCUCCCUGAGACUAUAAGUCUCCUGAAGGAACGUUGAAGACGACGACGUUGAUAGGUCGGGUGUGUAAGCGCAGCGAUGCGUUGAGCUAACCGAUACUAAUGAACCGUGAGGCUUAACCUU